rnacentral:rRNA from 1 species
AAUCAACGCUGGCGGCGUGCCUAACACAUGCAAGUCGAACGCGAAAGGGGAGCAAUCCCUGAGUAGAGUGGCAAACGGGUGAGUAACGCGUGGGUGACCUGCCCUUGAGUGGGGGAUAACGUUCCGAAAGGGACGCUAAUACCGCAUAACAUCCUGGGUUUGAACAACUGGAGAUCAAAGCUGGGGAUCGCAAGACCUGGCGCUUGAGGAGGGGCCCGCGUCCGAUCAGCUAGUUGGUGGGGUAAAGGCCUACCAAGGCGACGAUCGGUAUCCGGCCUGAGAGGGCGGACGGACACACUGGUGCUGAGACACGGCUCAGACUACUACGGGAGGCAGCAGUGGGGAAUUUUGGACAAUGUGUGCAAGCCUGAUCCAGCCAUGCCGCGUGAGUGAAGAAGGCCUUCGGUUUGUAAAGCUCUUGCGGCCGGGAAAAAAUCGCAUGGGUUAAUACCCUGUGUGGAUGAUGGUACCGGAAUAAGAAGCACCGGCUAACUACGUGCCAGCAGCCGCAGUAAAAC